rnacentral:rRNA from 1 species
UACGAAGGGGGCUAGCGUUGCUCGGAAUCACUGGGCGUAAAGCGCACGUAGGCGGAUUGUUAAGUCAGUGGUGAAAGCCUCCAGCUCAACUGGAGAACUGCCAUUGAUACUGACGGGCUUGAGUACAGACGAGGUUGGCGGAAUUGAUUGUGUAGCGGUGAAAUGCAUAGAUACAAUCAAGAACACCGAUUGCGUAGGCAGCUAACUAGGCUGUAACUGACGCUGAGGCACGAAAGCGUGGGGAGCGAACAGG